rnacentral:rRNA from 1 species
UACGUAGGGGCAAGCGUUGUCCGGAUUUAUUGGGCGUAAAGCGCGUGUAGGCGGCUUUGCAAGUCGGGUGUGAAAGCCCUCAGCUUAACUGAGGAAGUGCGCCCGAAACUGCAGAGCUUGAAUACCGGAGAGGAUGGCGGAAUUCCCAAGUAGAGGUGAAAUUCGUAGAUAUGGGGAGGAACACCGGUGGCGAAGGCGGCCAUCUGGACGGCUAUUGACGCUGAGACGCGAAAGCGUGGGGAGCAAACAGGG